rnacentral:rRNA from 1 species
AGAUUGAACGCUAGCGGGAUGCUUUACACAUGCAAGUCGAACGGCAGCGCGGACUUCGGUCUGGCGGCGAGUGGCGAACGGGUGAGUAAUAUAUCGGAACGUGCCCAGUAGCGGGGGAUAACUACGCGAAAGCGUGGCUAAUACCGCAUACGCCCUACGGGGGAAAGGGGGGGAUCGCAAGACCUCUCACUAUUGGAGCGGCCGAUAUCAGAUUAGCUAGUUGGUGAGGUAAAGGCUCACCAAGGCGACGAUCUGUAGCUGGUUUGAGAGGACGACCAGCCACACUGGGACUGAGACACGGCCCAGACUCCUACGGGAGGCAGCAGUGGGGAAUUUUGGACAAUGGGGGAAACCUGAUCCAGCCAUCCCGCGUGUGCGAUGAAGGCCUGGUGUAA